UGAGAAACCAUUGGUCCUUCUAUUCUGGA
rnacentral:piRNA from 1 species